rnacentral:rRNA from 1 species
CCUACGGGGGGCAGCAGUGAGGAAUAUUGGUCAAUGGCCGGAAGGCUGAACCAGCCAUGCCGCGUGAAGGUCAGUGCCCUAUGGGCGUUAAACUUCUUUUGUGCGGGAGCAAUAAUGGUCACGUGUGGCCAGACGAGAGUACCGUACGAAUAAGCAUCGGCUAACCCCGUGCCAGCAGCCGCGGUAAUACGGGGGAUGCAAGCGUUAUCCGGAUUUAUUGGGUUUAAAGGGUGCGUAGGCUGUGAGGUAAGUCAGCGGGGAAAUGCCCCCGCGCAACGGGGUGAAGUGCCAUUGAUACUGGCUUGCUGGAAUGCGGAUGCCGUGGGAGGAAUGUGUGGUGUAGCGGUGAAAUGCAUAGAUAUCACACAGAACACCGAUUGCGAAGGCAUCUCACGAAUCCGCGAUUGACGCUGAUGCACGAAAGCGUGGGUAUCAAACAGGAUUAGAUACCCCAGUAGUC